rnacentral:lncRNA from 1 species
AUACCCGAAAAAUGAAAUUGGUGCAGGAAAUAAGAUCUGUUGAAAAAAAAAUUUAAAUACCCAAAAAUAAAUCGCAAAAAUCAUAUAGAUUUUCACAUACCUCUUUUGCUGCGGAACGUAUUACGAUUACCAUAAUCGAAUCUCGUCUUGUUUUACGAACUCGUUAAUCUACCAACGGUCUGUCUCAGUUUGUUGCGCGUUGUUCUUACUCGUUGCAAUCCGGCUACUAAAGUCGAUCGCCGCACAC